AGGCUUUUAUUUACUCAUUGCAUCAGUGUUGGAUGCUUGAAUAGUUUGAUAAUGGUUGGAGUAGAGGUCUCAUGAAAUCAUUAGCCUUUGUUAGAAUCAGAACACAAGAUUUCAGUAUCUUCGGUUGUAGUACUCACUGGGAUUUUACUGCUCACUGCAUCAGUGUUGGAUGCUUGACAAUAUGAUAAUGGUUGGAGUAGAGUUAGCCUUUGUUAGAUUCAGAACACUAGAUUUCAGUAUCUUCAGUUGUGGUAUUUACUAGGAUUUAACUGCUCAUUGCAUUAGUGCUGGAUGUUUUGAACAACUCAGUAAUGGGUAAUAGUAUCGUAUUAGGAUGUGUGGAUAUUGAAUUGUGAACUAGGUGAAGGAAUGGCUCUCUGUUUAGUAGACGUGGCAUACUUGAAGAAGGCUCAUUAGCAUAAACUAGUGUUCAUGGCAUCAAUACACAGGGUUUCGGUUUUGGUAUUUUCUAGGCUUUUAACUGCUCAUUGCAUUCUGUGUUGGAUGUUUGAAUAGUUUGAUAAUGGUUGGAGUACAGUUCCUCGUGGCUUCAGCCUUUGUUAAACUCAGAACACUAGUUUUUCUGUAUCUUGUUUUUUUUUUCUGGUCAUUGCAUCAGUGUUGGGAUGCUUGAAUGAUUUGAUAAUGGUUGGAGUAGAGUUCUCAUGACAUCAUCAGCCUUUGUAAGAUUCAGAACGCUAGGUUUCACUACUUUAGUUGUGGUAUUUACUAGGCUUUUCCUGCUCGUUGCUUCAGUGCUUGAUGAUUGCACAGUUGUUGGAGUAGAGUUCUCAUGACAUCAGCCUUUGUUAAAUUCAGAACACUAGUUUUCCCUUUUCAGUAUCUUCAGUUGUGGUAUUUGCUAAGAUUUUACUGCUCAUUGCAUCAGUGCUGGAUGUUUGAACAAUUCAGUGAUGGCUAAUAGUGUCUUAUUAGGAUGUGUGGAUAAUGAACUGUGAGCAUUUUAGCAGAUACUGAAUUGAGAAUAGCAUGAGAACAUUACUUUUUGAGCUUUCGAAAUAGUUGUUUGCAUGCUUGUGGGAACUGAUAAAUUGGGUAUCAAUCAAAGAGCUUGAUCACUUACUUGAAUAAGUGGCAAGUUGGAGUUGAGGUGAACUUCACUCGAUGUUGGGCUGAUAAGGUUUAGAAAUCAUGGUAGCUUACAAGUAAUGCCAUUUCAAGUAGUAUUACUCAUAGGUUCUCUGUCUCUGGUCCAUGAGCUUUCUAUUGAAUAAUGCCAUUUCAAGUAGUAUCACUCGUGUUUCCCAAAUCUUGUGAUUAGUUUCCUUUAAGUGUGGUCUGACAGCAUCCUCUUUAAAUAUAGAGUAGUUCAAUGCCGUGUCUGUUUUUAGCGAGUUUCGUCUCAUCCUCUGGUUUCAUAAAUUAUGAAUUAAACAAAAUGAAAGAGAUUAGGAUUAAACAAACUCAGUUACCUUAUUGCAAGCAUUGUUGUCUUGUUAUUUGCCGUUUGUUUGCCGUGUCUUCAAGUUGCAUCACAUCGGGAGGGCUCCCGAGAGUAUGAACACUGACACUCGAUUUAGGCUUUGGUAUAAUCAAUGAAACAAGACAAGAUCACAUGUUUGUUUUACUGGAGACCCAGAGAAGAGGUCCAGUGUAAAGCCAUGUGAAGAACCUUUGUCCUCUUAUCCAUUUUCUUCUGUACGUCUGACACGGUUUCUUUUGUUAAUUCCAAUUCAAGAACACUAUUU
rnacentral:lncRNA from 1 species